CUGCACUCUCUCCUUAAUCCCUAUAUAUAUUUAGACAAAUACACAGGGAUUAAGGAGAGAGCACAGGU